UCAAAAGAGCCGGCUCUUUGAGCCGGCUCGUUCGCGACCGACACAUCACUAAUGUGUCAUUUGAAUCCUGUGACUGUGAGAUGACAGAACCGCAUUUUUUCCCUUUCCUGUGCCAUCCUGCGAUGUUAUGGUUUUGAAUGUGGAGAUGCAAACAGUGUACUGAGACUCAAUCUACAAGGUAAACGCAGAAUUCACCCGCAUCACCACCGUUCCGCUGCUGCCUACCUUCAUGUCUCAACUGGAUCGCCAUUCGU